AUUGAACGCUGGCGGCAUGCCUAACACAUGCAAGUCGAACGGGGCAGCAAUGCCUAGUGGCGGACGGGUGAGGAAUACGUAGGAAUCUGCCCUUAAGUGGGGGAUAACCAGGGGAAACCCUGACUAAUACCGCAUGAUCUCUUCGGAGCAAAGAGGGGGACCGCAAGGCCUCUCGCUUCUGGAUGAGCCUACGUCUGAUUAGCUAGUUGGUAGGGUAAAGGCCUACCAAGGCGACGAUCAGUAACUGGUCUGAGAGGAUGAUCAGCCACACCGGAACUGAGACACGGUCCGGACUCCUACGGGAGGCAGCAGUGGGGAAUAUUGGACAAUGGGCGCAAGCCUGAUCCAGCCAUGCCGCGUGAGUGAUGAAGGCCUUAGGAUUGUAAAGCUCUUUCACCGGUGAAGAUAAUGACGGUAACCGGAGAAGAAGCCCCGGCUAACUUCGUGCCAGCCGCCGCGGUAA
rnacentral:rRNA from 1 species